GACGAACGCUGGCGGCGUGCUUAACACAUGCAAGUCGAACGGAAAGGCCCUGCUUUUGUGGGGUGCUCGAGUGGCGAACGGGUGAGUAACACGUGAGUAACCUGCCCUUGACUUUGGGAUAACUUCAGGAAACUGGUGCUAAUACCGGAUAGGAGCUCCUGCUGCAUGGUGGGGGUUGGAAAGUUUCGGCGGUUGGGGAUGGACUCGCGGCUUAUCAGCUUGUUGGUGGGGUAGUGGCUUACCAAGGCUUUGACGGGUAGCCGGCCUGAGAGGGUGACCGGCCACAUUGGGACUGAGAUACGGCCCAGACGCCUACGGGAGGCAGCAGUGGGGAAUAUUGCACAAUGGGCGGAAGCCUGAUGCAGCAACGCCGCGUGCGGGAUGACGGCCUUCGGGUUGUAAACCGCUUUCGCCUGUGACGAAGCGUGAGUGACGGUAAUGGGUAAAGAAGCACCGGCUAACUACGUG
rnacentral:rRNA from 1 species